GACGAACCGUACAAACGUUAUUCGGAAUUACUGGGCUUAAAGGGUUUGUAGGCGGCCUUGUAAGUCAGGUGUGAAAUCCCUCGGCUCAACCGAGGAAUGGCGCUUGAUACUGCAAGGCUUGAGGGAGACAGGGGUAAGCGGAACUGAUGGUGGAGCGGUGAAAUGCGUUGAUAUCAUCAGGAACACCGGUGGCGAAAGCGGCUUACUGGGUCUCUUCUGACGCUGAGGAACGAAAGCUAGGGGAGCGAACGGG
rnacentral:rRNA from 1 species